AGAGUUUGAUCCUGGCUCAGGACGAACGCUGGCGGCAUGCUUAACACAUGCAAGUCGAACGCAGCAUCGGGGCUUGCUCCGAUGGCUGAGUGGCAGACGGGUGAGUAACACGUGGGAACUUACCCUUUAGACUGGGACAACCACUGGAAACGGUGGCUAAUACCGGAUACGCCCUGAGGGGGAAAGCAGCAAUGCGCUAAGGGAGAGGCCCGCGGCAGAUUAGGUAGUUGGUGGGGUAAAGGCCUACCAAGCCUGUGAUCUGUAGCUGGUUUGAGAGGAUGAUCAGCCACACUGGGACUGAGACACGGCCCAGACUCCUACGGGAGGCAGCAGUGGGGAAUAUUGGACAAUGGGGGAAACCCUGAUCCAGCAAUGCCGCGUGAAUGAAGAAGGCCUUAGGGUUGUAAAAUUCUUUUGUUCGUGACGAUAAUGACGGUAGCGGACGAAUAAGCCCUGGCUAACUCUGUGCCAGCAGCCCGCGGUAAUACAGAGAGGGCAAGCGUUGUCCGGAAUGACUGGGCGUAAAGCGCGCGCAGGCGGUUUCUUAAGUUGGAUGUGAAAUCCCCGGGCUUAACCUGGGAACUGCAUUCGAUACUGGGGAACUAGAGGCCGAGAGAGGAAAGCGGAAUGACGAGUGUAGAGGUGAAAUUCGUAGAUAUUCGUCGGAACACCAGAGCAAAGCGGCUUUCUGGCUCGGACCUGACCUNAGGCGCGAAACGUGGGGAGCAAACAGGAUUAGAUCCCUGUAGUCCACGCCUAAACGAUGAUGCUAGAUGUCGAUUUUCGGAUUCGNGUCGCACUACGCUUAACACUCCGCUUGGGAGUCCGUCCAGAAUAAACUCAAGGAAUUGACGG
rnacentral:rRNA from 1 species